CUUGAUAAGCGACAUGGAAGCUUGGGAAAGAAGCGGGUCAAAUGGAACUUAUGUGCACGGGAAGCGUACUCGGAUGCAAGGUUGAUCGGGUCACGGAGGAUUAACAAGGGACAAAGAUCAUGGACCGAGUCACAUGAAGGAUUGUACGGGGUGUCUAAGAAUGUAAUUUGUUAUACAUAAGUUAUGUUUUAUUCUAUAAUUGAGUUAGUUUGAUGUAUUCAAUAUAAAGGAGUUAUUUUAAAAGUGAACUUUCAAGUAAGACAUAAGGUUUAUAAUGAAAGAAAUUUUAUGG